rnacentral:rRNA from 1 species
UCACACUAUCAUUAACUGAAUCCAUAGGUUAAUGAGGCGAACCGGGGGAACUGAAACAUCUAAGUACCCCGAGGAAAAGAAAUCAACCGAGAUUCCCCCAGUAGCGGCGAGCGAACGGGGAGGAGCCCAGAGCCUGAAUCAGUGUGUGUGUUAGUGGAAGCGUCUGGAAAGGCGCGCGAUACAGGGUGACAGCCCCGUACACAAAAAUGCACAUGCUGUGAGCUCGAUGAGUAGGGCGGGACACGUGGUAUCCUGUCUGAAUAUGGGGGGACCAUCCUCCAAGGCUAAAUACUCCUGACUGACCGAUAGUGAACCAGUACCGUGAGGGAAAGGCGAAAAGAACCCCGGCGAGGGGAGUGAAAAAGAACCUGAAACCGUGUACGUACAAGCAGUGGGAGCACAGAGCAAUCUGUGUGACUGCGUACCUUUUGUAUAAUGGGUCAGCGACUUAUAUUCUGUAGCAAGGUUAACCGAAUAGGGGAGCCGAAGGGAAACCGAGUCUUAACUGGGCGUUAAGUUGCAGGGUAUAGACCCGAAACCCGGUGAUCUAGCCAUGGGCAGGUUGAAGGUUGGGUAACACUAACUGGAGGACCGAACCGACUAAUGUUGAAAAAUUAGCGGAUGACUUGUGGCUGGGGGUGAAAGGCCAAUCAAACCGGGAGAUAGCUGGUUCUCCCCGAAAGCUAUUUAGGUAGCGCCUCGUGAAUUCAUCUCCGGGGGUAGAGCACUGUUUCGGCAAGGGGGUCAUCCCGACUUACCAACCCGAUGCAAACUGCGAAUACCGGAGAAUGUUAUCACGGGAGACACACGGCGGGUGCUAACGUCCGUCGUGAAGAGGGAAACAACCCAGACCGCCAGCUAAGGUCCCAAAGUCAUGGUUAAGUGGGAAACGAUGUGGGAAGGCCCAGACAGCCAGGAUGUUGGCUUAGAAGCAGCCAUCAUUUAAAGAAAGCGUAAUAGCUCACUGGUCGAGUCGGCCUGCGCGGAAGAUGUAACGGGGCUAAACCAUGCACCGAAGCUGCGGCAGCGACACUAUGUGUUGUUGGGUAGGGGAGCGUUCUGUAAGCCUGUGAAGGUGUGCUGUGAGGCAUGCUGGAGGUAUCAGAAGUGCGAAUGCUGACAUAAGUAACGAUAAAGCGGGUGAAAAGCCCGCUCGCCGGAAGACCAAGGGUUCCUGUCCAACGUUAAUCGGGGCAGGGUGAGUCGACCCCUAAGGCGAGGCCGAAAGGCGUAGUCGAUGGGAAACAGGUUAAUAUUCCUGUACUUGGUGUUACUGCGAAGGGGGGACGGAGAAGGCUAUGUUGGCCGGGCGACGGUUGUCCCGGUUUAAGCGUGUAGGCUGGUUUUCCAGGCAAAUCCGGAAAAUCAAGGCUGAGGCGUGAUGACGAGGCACUACGGUGCUGAAGCAACAAAUGCCCUGCUUCCAGGAAAAGCCUCUAAGCAUCAGGUAACAUCAAAUCGUACCCCAAACCGACACAGGUGGUCAGGUAGAGAAUACCAAGGCGCUUGAGAGAACUCGGGUGAAGGAACUAGGCAAAAUGGUGCCGUAACUUCGGGAGAAGGCACGCUGAUAUGUAGGUGAAGCGACUUGCUCGUGGAGCUGAAAUCAGUCGAAGAUACCAGCUGGCUGCAACUGUUUAUUAAAAACACAGCACUGUGCAAACACGAAAGUGGACGUAUACGGUGUGACGCCUGCCCGGUGCCGGAAGGUUAAUUGAUGGGGUCAGCGCAAGCGAAGCUCUUGAUCGAAGCCCCGGUAAACGGCGGCCGUAACUAUAACGGUCCUAAGGUAGCGAAAUUCCUUGUCGGGUAAGUUCCGACCUGCACGAAUGGCGUAAUGAUGGCCAGGCUGUCUCCACCCGAGACUCAGUGAAAUUGAACUCGCUGUGAAGAUGCAGUGUACCCGCGGCAAGACGGAAAGACCCCGUGAACCUUUACUAUAGCUUGACACUGAACAUUGAGCCUUGAUGUGUAGGAUAGGUGGGAGGCUUUGAAGUGUGGACGCCAGUCUGCAUGGAGCCGACCUUGAAAUACCACCCUUUAAUGUUUGAUGUUCUAACGUUGACCCGUAAUCCGGGUUGCGGACAGUGUCUGGUGGGUAGUUUGACUGGGGCGGUCUCCUCCUAAAGAGUAACGGAGGAGCACGAAGGUUGGCUAAUCCUGGUCGGACAUCAGGAGGUUAGUGCAAUGGCAUAAGCCAGCUUGACUGCGAGCGUGACGGCGCGAGCAGGUGCGAAAGCAGGUCAUAGUGAUCCGGUGGUUCUGAAUGGAAGGGCCAUCGCUCAACGGAUAAAAGGUACUCCGGGGAUAACAGGCUGAUACCGCCCAAGAGUUCAUAUCGACGGCGGUGUUUGGCACCUCGAUGUCGGCUCAUCACAUCCUGGGGCUGAAGUAGGUCCCAAGGGUAUGGCUGUUCGCCAUUUAAAGUGGUACGCGAGCUGGGUUUAGAACGUCGUGAGACAGUUCGGUCCCUAUCUGCCGUGGGCGCUGGAGAACUGAGGGGGGCUGCUCCUAGUACGAGAGGACCGGAGUGGACGCAUCACUGGUGUUCGGGUUGUCAUGCCAAUGGCACUGCCCGGUAGCUAAAUGCGGAAGAGAUAAGUGCUGAAAGCAUCUAAGCACGAAACUUGCCCCGAGAUGAGUUCUCCCUGACUCCUUGAGAGUCCUGAAGGAACGUUGAAGACGACGACGUUGAUAGGCCGGGUGUGUAAGCGCAGCGAUGCGUUGAGCUAACCGGUACUAAUGAACCGUGAGG